rnacentral:misc_RNA from 1 species
GAUGAAGAACGUAGCGAAAUGCGAUAAGUAAUGUGAAUUGAAGAAUUCAGUGAAUCAUCGAAUCUUUGAACGCACAUUGCGCCCGCCAGUAUUCUGGCGGGCAUGCCUGUUCGAGCGUCAUUUCAACCAUCAAGCCCCCGGCUUGUGUUGGGGACCUGCGGCUGCCGCAGGCCCUGAAAAGCAGUGGCGGGCUCGCUGUCACACCGAGCGUAGUAGCAUACAUCUCGCUCUGGGCGUGCUGCGGGUUCCGGCCGUUAAACCACCUUCAUAACCCAAGGUUGACCUCGGAUCAGGUAGGAAGACCCGCUGAACUUAAGCAUAUCAAUAAGCGGAGGA